GCCUCCUCCGCUCGUUGAGGUUGGCGAUGAGGUUGACAUAGGACCCGGAGCUAGGGUGAGAGGCGGCAGCCGUAGCAAUAAUCGGGAUGAUGACAUCGCUGGUGGACAGGAGGUGGGCGGUGGACUGGCGGCCCCUUGGGGUUGGGAGGGGGAGGUCGAGGAAGCCCGAUGGGAACUCCCGCUUGAUGUGGGGCCUGCUGCUUCGGCUGGUGGACGGGCUGGAGAACCCCCCGGGGCUUCUCGACAGGAGAGGCUCGUCAAUAUCCAUGGUGGGGAAUCCGCAUGCCCGGCGAGUUAACAGAGGAACGAGAAGUUCUUGUUCUGAGUUUCUUACUGACGACGACGAUGAGAGGUAGUUGGCUUGGGUGGGGACCUACUUGUAUGGGCAAAAUCGUCCUUUUUAGUUCAUUUUCAACCGCUCGCUCCUCUUCAGUUAAAAUGCUGGUAGUUGCAAGCUUUCUUCACUUCCAGUUCCCGCCAGAAAGUCGGAACCCUACUCUGCUUUCCGGUCGCGCGAUCGCACAUCGAGCGGCUGGUGGAAUACUGCACAGUUCCGCUCGGAACACUAAUGGUGCAUGAUUAAUCAACAAUUACAGCCUUCUGGUCAUCUUCUUCCUAGAGUUUCAGUCACAGGCUUCAACUGCUCAAACAACUGAGUUUCAACACGGGACACCGCUCCGUCUCCAGAUCCCUAGCUCCCAGGAGAAACUGGCCAUGUGAAACAAAACAAUCUUCCAGUACCCUUCGAUCCACCAAUAUGGGAGAAGGACCCUCUAGCCGUCCUCGCUUUUCCUUUUCCAGGUGCAAGGGAGACUGCUCCAUUGCCAUUAAUUAAGCGAUAGUUACUAGUCAUGGAAUGGUCCAGACACCGCUUGAUCGUAUUUAUGGAGCGGUUUCCGUACAACCCUUUACCCGUGCUGCUGUUCGAACUACGUUUCAUCCACUGCUUUGUAGGGAGCCCUUUCCGUUUGAAACAGUGAUUUAAUGGAGAAAGAGGAAACCUGUGUGUGUCUGCUUCUCUUUCACCCUGAACUAACAUCAUCGCUCAACUGUGUUCCACAUACUAUAACUUCAUUUGAUUUUUGAAAAUGAUGCUAAAAGUUCA